rnacentral:rRNA from 1 species
AGUUUGAUCCUGGCUCAGGAUGAACGCUAGCUACAGGCUUAACACAUGCAAGUCGAGGGGCAGCAUUAUCGAAGCUUGCUUUGAUAGAUGGCGACCGGCGCACGGGUGAGUAACGCGUAUCCAACCUUCCCAUGACUCUGGGAUAGCCCAGUGAAAACUGGAUUAAUACCGGAUGUUGUUCAAUUGAGGGCAUCUGACUUGAACCAAAGAUUCAUCGGUCAUGGAUGGGGAUGCGUCCGAUUAGCUUGUUGGCGGGGUAACGGCCCACCAAGGCUACGAUCGGUAGGGGUUCUGAGAGGAAGGUCCCCCACAUUGGAACUGAGACACGGUCCAAACUCCUACGGGAGGCAGCAGUGAGGAAUAUUGGUCAAUGGGCGUGAGCCUGAACCAGCCAAGUAGCGUGCGGGACGACGGCCCUAUGGGUUGUAAACCGCUUUUGCAGGGGAAUAAAGUGGCCCACGUGUGGGUUUUGUAUGUACCCGGAGAAUAAGGACCGGCUAAUUCCGUGCC